rfam:Paenibacillus sabinae T27, complete genome.
UGCAUCCAAAACGACAAAAGCCCUACCUCUCUUUUGCCCUUGCGGCUCCAAUGACCGCGCCAGUGUGAGUCGGAAAAUAACAGCUUGA